rnacentral:misc_RNA from 1 species
AGUCGUAACAAGGUUUCCGUAGGUGAACCUGCGGAAGGAUCAUUAACGAGUGCGGACCUCCGGGUCCAACCUCCCACCCGUGUCUAUCGUACCUUGUUGCUUCGGCGGGCCCGCCCACCGUGGCCGCCGGGGGGCGUCCGCCCCGCGGCCCGUGCCCGCCGAGGACCCCUGGGAACUCGUGUCUGAAGAGUGCCGUCUGAGCGAGAAGCGAAAUCAGUCAAAACUUUCAACAACGGAUCUCUUGGUUCCGGCAUCGAUGAAGAACGCAGCGAAAUGCGAUAAGUAAUGUGAAUUGCAGAAUUCAGUGAAUCAUCGAGUCUUUGAACGCACAUUGCGCCCCCUGGCAUUCCGGGGGGCAUGCCUGUCCGAGCGUCAUUGCUGCCCUCAAGCCCGGCUUGUGUGUUGGGCCGCCGUCCCCCCGCCUGCCCGGGGGGACGGGCCCGAAAGGCAGCGGCGGCACCGCGUCCGGUCCUCGAGCGUAUGGGGCUUCGUCACCCGCUCCGCAGGCCCGGCCGGUCGCCCGCCGGCGCACCUCUUCCUCUCUCCAGGUUGACCUCGGAUCAGGUAGGGAUACCCGCUGAACUUAAGCAUAUCAAUAA